GCCGGUAAUGGUGUUUUCUGGAGGGCAAUGAGAGAAAAUUGAAUCUAAGGUGCUGCUGCCUCCCGCCAAAAUGAGUUGCGAUAAAGAGGAUCCGACAUCGGGAGUGUUAGCGAAUCCAAAAGGAAAGUUGUUUUCCUGCAUUCUCUCUAUGGUUUGAAACAGACGAAACAGAAAGAAUCGUGAAGAAAAUGAAUAUGAAGGAAACAGAGAACUAAAAAUUUGUC
rnacentral:misc_RNA from 1 species